AGAGUUUGAUCAUGGCUCAGAUUGAACGCUGGCGGCAUGCUUAAUACAUGCAAGUCGAACGGUAACAGAUUCUUCGGAAUGCUGACGAGUGGCGGACGGGUGAGUAAUACAUAGGAAUCUGCCCAUGUAGUGGGGGACAACUUGGGGAAACUCAAGCUAAUACCGCAUAAUUCCUACGGGAUAAAGAGGGCCACUGCUUGCAAGCUCUUGUUACUGGAUGAGCCUAUGUCGGAUUAGUUAGUUGGUAAGGUAAUGGCUUCCCAAGACAGCGAUCCGUAGCUGGUUUGAGAGGAUGAUCAGCCACACUGGGACUGAGACACGGCCCAGACUCCUACGGGAGGCAGCAGUAGGGAGUAUUGGACAAUGGGCGCAAGCCUGAUCCAGCAAUGCCGCGUGUGUGAAGAAGGCCUGCGGGUUGUAAAGCACUUUCAAUUGGGAAGAAAGAUUAUGAGUUAAUACCUUAUAAUAUUGACG
rnacentral:rRNA from 1 species